ACAUACCCGGAAAUUUAACUCUACCUCUACAGAAUCACCACAGCCAUUGGAUACUUGAUUUGAGUGAUUUUUGUCUCUGGAUGUUAUUCAUUUAAAAUUCAUGUUCGUGCUUUCAGUAAGAGUCAGAGACCUUAUUUAUCUGUUGGGCCACAGACUAAAGUGGUAGUUUGCGCUUACUCUUGUAUUUUGAGUAGUUCCCUUUUUCCAACUCUAGUUUUCUUGUUAGCUAAUCCAUAACCUUUGAUAUAUACCAGCAGAGCUCAGUCCCUCAGAAACAUAACAAAUCUACAUUCUUGUUGGCAGCUUGCCGUGGACAAGAACUAUCACACCACCUGUCCCAAGGUGCUCUACAGGGCCAAUGAUGACCGCAAAGUGCUUCCAAAAAUGCAUCUGGAUCCAGUGGAUUUAAAACAUGUGUACGUGCCAUUUCAAAACCAGGUAGGCGCAUUGGACAGGCUGUGUUGAACAUCGGGAGAUUGUGAUUACCAGUACUUUAAAUUUAGUUGAUUGCCUGAAUGUCAUCUCUAUGUUAGCCAUAUUUCAAAGUGUUUUUGAUUGUGUUUUGUUCUAGAUUAAGCGUGUAGCUGUCUCAAACUGCAGCACAUACACAAAUGUGGAAGACUGUUGGUCUGCACAGGAUCCAUACUGUGUCUGGUGCGGCUCUAAAGGAAGUUGCACAUUUGAAGAUGACUGCCCAGGCUCAGACUGGUUGUCCAUUCCUGACGACUCUCAACAGAAGAUGAUUUCCCACCAAGUUACCAUGGACAACACUGGACAGGUAUACAGUAGAGCAUAUCCAAGCUUUAAACUUCACUAAGUUGUGACUGUCAUCUAUUUCUCCUCUAAACACUCACUUCCUUUCUCAGAGCACACUUACAAUCCAGACACACGUGACUGCGGGUUCUGAGGCGCUCGCUAACUUCGCCUGUCAGUUCUCCACAAGUUCCAGUCAGCUUUGUAUCAGGAACAGCCCUCCUCCACAGUUCCCACAAUGCACCUGCAUCCUUACAAACAGCACACUUCCUGCUGAAGGUCAGUGACUUUUGGUAAACAUAAUAAUUCAGUUAAUUAAAUAACUGACAAUCAAGGACCCUCAGACAGAUUGAUGAUUGUGACCAAGACUCUGACAUUGACUCUAUUAUUUUCACUCAACAGGUAUGCAUGUCACAGUUAAGAUUAGACUUGGGAAGACACGUUUGACUGAACCACUGAAGAUAUCCAACUGUGCUGACAUCAUUGGACCACCAACCUCUGUCCUGUAAGUCCAUACGCAAGUAGACAGAUAAUUCCUACCAUAAAUUAUAGAAGAUAGAGCUGAAAAAGCUAAAAUACAUAAUCAGUUA
rnacentral:lncRNA from 1 species